rnacentral:rRNA from 1 species
CCUACGGGAGGCAGCAGUGAGGAAUAUUGGUCAAUGGGCGCGAGCCUGAACCAGCCAAGUAGCGUGAAGGAUGACUGCCCUACGGGUUGUAAACUUCUUUUAUAAAGGAAUAAAGUGAGGCACGUGUGCCUUUUUGUAUGUACUUUAUGAAUAAGGAUCGGCUAACUCCGUGCCAGCAGCCGCGGUAAUACGGAGGAUCCGAGCGUUAUCCGGAUUUAUUGGGUUUAAAGGGAGCGUAGAUGGGUUGUUAAGUUAGUUGUGAAAGUUUGCGGCUCAACCGGAAAAUUGCAAUUGAUACUGGCAGCCUUGAGUACAGUGGAGGUAGGCGGAAUUCGUGGUGUAGCGGUGAAAUGCUUAGAGAUCACGAAGAACGCCGAUUGCGAAGGCAGCUUACUAAACUGCCACUGACAUUGAUGCUCGAAAGUGUGGGUAUCAAACAGGAUUAGAUACCCGAGUAGUC